UACGUAGGGGGCAAGCGUUGUCCGGAAUCAUUGGCGUAAAGAGCGUGUAGGCGGCCCGGUAAGUCUGUUGUGAAAGUCCAGGGCUCAACCCUGGAAUGCCGAUGGAUACUGCCGGGCUAGAGUUCGGAAGAGGCGAGUGGAAUCCUGGUGUAGCGGUGAAAUGCGCAGAUAUCAGGAGGACACCGGUGGCGAAGGCGGGAUUCCUCUGGGCAUGUCCUGACGCUGAGGAGCGAAAGUGUGGGGAGCGAACAGG
rnacentral:rRNA from 1 species